rnacentral:misc_RNA from 1 species
GAUGAAGAACGUAGCGAAAUGCGAUAAGUAAUGUGAAUUGCAGAAUUCAGUGAAUCAUCGAAUCUUUGAACGCACAUUGCGCCCCUUGGUAUUCCGAGGGGCAUGCCUGUUCGAGCGUUAUUAUAACCCCUCAAGCUCAGCUUGGUGUUGGGGCCUGCUGCACUGGCAGCCCUUAAAAUCAGUGGCGGCGCCAUCUGGCUCUAAGCGUAGUAAUUCUUCUCGCUAUGGAGUCCUGGUGGAUGCUUGCCAUCAACCCCCAAUUUUUCUAUGGUUGACCUCGGAUCAGGUAGGGAUACCCGCUGAACUUAAGCAUAUCAAUAAGCGGAGGA